rnacentral:rRNA from 1 species
UACGUAGGGUGCAAGCGUUAAUCGGAAUUACUGGGCGUAAAGCGUGCGCAGGCGGUGAUGUAAGACAGGUGUGAAAUCCCCGGGCUUAACCUGGGAACUGCAUUUGUGACUGCAUCGCUGGAGUGCGGCAGAGGGGGAUGGAAUUCCCAGUGUAGCGGUGAAAUGCGUAGAUAUUGGGAGGAACACCAGUGGCGAAGGCGGCUCACUGGACCGGAACUGACGCUGAGGCGCGAAAGCGUGGGGAGCAAACGGG